ensembl:Mt_tRNA
UUUACCAAGUCCUGCAGUGAAUGUCAUAUUGAAUUGCAAAUUCAAAGAAGCAGCUUGACGCUGCCG